rnacentral:rRNA from 1 species
UACGAGGGGGGCAAAUGUUGUUCGGAAUCACUGGGCGUAAAGGGAGCGUAGGCGGGUUUCUAAGUCAGGUGUUUAAUCCCGGGGCCCAACCCCGGACAGGCACUUGAAACUGGGAAUCUUGAAUAGUGGAGAGGUCAGUGGAAUUGGGGGUGUAGCGGUGGAAUGCGUAGAGAUCCCCAAGAACACCCGUGGCUAAGGCGGCUCUCUAGUACGGUACUGACGCUGAGACGCGAAAGCGUGGGGAGCGAACAGG